GACGAACGCUAGCGGCAGGCUUAACACAUGCAAGUCGAGGGGUAUAGGUUUUCGGACCUAGAGACCGGCGCACGGGUGCGUAACGCGUAUGCAAUCUACCUUUCACAGAGGGAUAGCCCAGAGAAAUUUGGAUUAAUACCUCAUAGUAUAGCAGUUUCGCAUGAAACCACUAUUAAAGUAUCAACGGUGAAAGAUGAGCAUGCGUCCCAUUAGCUAGAUGGUAAGGUAACGGCUUACCAUGGCUACGAUGGGUAGGGGUCCUGAGAGGGAGAUCCCCCACACUGGUACUGAGACACGGACCAGACUCCUACGGGAGGCAGCAGUGAGGAAUAUUGGUCAAUGGACGCAAGUCUGAACCAGCCAUGCCGCAUGCAGGAUGACGGUCCUAUGGAUUGUAAACUGCUUUUGUACGAGAAGAAACAACAUUACGUGUAAUGUCUUGACGGUAUCGUAAGAAUAAGGAUCGGCUAACUCCGUGCCAGCCGCCGCAGUAACAC
rnacentral:rRNA from 1 species